rnacentral:rRNA from 3 species
CAACUUUUAACAACGGAUCUCUUGGUUCUCGCAUCGAUGAAGAACGUAGCAAAGUGCGAUAACUAGUGUGAAUUGCAUAUUCAGUGAAUCAUCGAGUCUUUGAACGCAACUUGCGCUCAAUGGUAUUCCAUUGAGCACGCCUGUUUCAGUAUCAAA